rnacentral:rRNA from 1 species
GGACCAGACUCCUACGGGAGGCAGCAGUGGGGAAUAUUGCACAAUGGGGGAAACCCUGAUGCAGCGACGCCGCGUGAGCGAUGAAGUAUUUCGGUAUGUAAAGCUCUAUCAGCAGGGAAGAAAAUGACGGUACCUGACUAAGAAGCCCCGGCUAACUACGUGCCAGCAGCCGCGGUAAUACGUAGGGGGCAAGCGUUAUCCGGAUUUACUGGGUGUAAAGGGAGCGUAGACGGCUGCGCAAGUCAGAAGCGAAAGCCCGGGGCUCAACCGCGGGACUGCUUUUGAAACUGUAAGGCUAGAGUGUCGGAGAGGCAGGCGGAAUUCCUAGUGUAGCGGUGAAAUGCGUAGAUAUUAGGAGGAACACCAGUGGCGAAGGCGGCCUGCUGGACGAUGACUGACGUUGAGGCUCGAAGGCGUGGGGAGCAAACAGGAUUAGAUACCCCUGUAC